UCCAACAAAAUAUUGAUCUAUGUAAUAAUAUUAAUGACAGGGUCUAGAAGAGGAGUUGAGCAAAGAUGGUGCAUGUGACAGAGCAAUUUUAUGUGUCAGCUGAAGGGGGCGAUCGUCAGGUUCACCACAGGGAUUCUUCCAUUGUUUCAUACAAGGUCAAUCCUAAAUUUGUUGCUUGCCGAGAGGGUUAUGUCACUUGGUUUUGCCGCAAAGACUUGGCUGCACCUGCAAAUGCGCAUUUCAGACUCAUAUAAUAUUAUGUAUAUCAACCAUAAAUGUUAAAUGUUACAAAUAGAUUUCUGACUCAUUAGAAAUUAAAUGAGCUUUGAUCAUGUUAUUGUUUACUUGGAAUACAUGUAUUGGAUAUUUUGAUAAUAUACAAAAUAUAUUAGAUUGUUAUUUCA